AGCCUGAUGCAGCCAUGCCGCGUGUGUGAAGAAGGCCUUCGGGUUGUAAAGCACUUUCAGUCRKGAGGAAAGGUUAGUAGUUAAUACCUGCUAGCUGUGACGUUACUGACAGAAGAAGCACCGGCUAACUCCGUGCCAGCAGCCGCGGUAAU
rnacentral:rRNA from 1 species